GACGAACGCUGGCGGCGUGCCUAAUACAUGCAAGUAGAACGCUGAAGAGAGGAGCUUGCUCUUCUUGGAUGAGUUGCGAACGGGUGAGUAACGCGUAGGUAACCUGCCUUGUAGCGGGGGAUAACUAUUGGAAACGAUAGCUAAUACCGCAUAACAAUGGAUGACACAUGUCAUUUAUUUGAAAGGGGCAAUUGCUCCACUACAAGAUGGACCUGCGUUGUAUUAGCUAGUAGGUGAGGUAACGGCUCACCUAGGCGACGAUACAUAGCCGACCUGAGAGGGUGAUCGGCCACACUGGGACUGAGACACGGCCCAGACUCCUACGGGAGGCAGCAGUAGGGAAUCUUCGGCAAUGGGGGCAACCCUGACCGAGCAACGCCGCGUGAGUGAAGAAGGUUUUCGGAUCGUAAAGCUCUGUUGUAAGUCAAGAACGAGUGUGAGAGUGGAAAGUUCACACUGUGACGGUAGCUUACCAGAAAGGGACGGCUAACUACGUGCCAGCAGCCGCGGUAAUACGUAGGUCCCGAGCGUUGUCCGGAUUUAUUGGGCGUAAAGCGAGCGCAGGCGGUUUGAUAAGUCUGAAGUUAAAGGCUGUGGCUCAACCAUAGUUUGCUUUGGAAACUGUCAAACUUGAGUGCAGAAGGGGAGAGCGGAAUUCCAUGUGUAGCGGUGAAAUGCGUAGAUAUAUGGAGGAACACCGGUGGCGAAAGCGGCUCUCUGGUCUGUAACUGACGCUGAGGCUCGAAAGCGUGGGGAGCGAACAGGAUUAGAUACCCUGGUAGUCCACGCCGUAAACGAUGAGUGCUAGGUGUUGGAUCCUUUCCGGGAUUCAGUGCCGCAGCUAACGCAUUAAGCACUCCGCCUGGGGAGUACGACCGCAAGGUUGAAACUCAAAGGAAUUGACGGGGGCCCGCACAAGCGGUGGAGCAUGUGGUUUAAUUCGAAGCAACGCGAAGAACCUUACCAGGUCUUGACAUCCCGAUGCUAUUUCUAGAGAUAGAAAGUUACUUCGGUACAUCGGUGACAGGUGGUGCAUGGUUGUCGUCAGCUCGUGUCGUGAGAUGUUGGGUUAAGUCCCGCAACGAGCGCAACCCCUAUUGUUAGUUGCCAUCAUUCAGUUGGGCACUCUAGCGAGACUGCCGGUAAUAAACCGGAGGAAGGUGGGGAUGACGUCAAAUCAUCAUGCCCCUUAUGACCUGGGCUACACACGUGCUACAAUGGUUGGUACAACGAGUUGCAAGUCGGUGACGGCAAGCUAAUCUCUUAAAGCCAAUCUCAGUUCGGAUUGUAGGCUGCAACUCGCCUACAUGAAGUCGGAAUCGCUAGUAAUCGCGGAUCAGCACGCCGCGGUGAAUACGUUCCCGGGCCU
rnacentral:rRNA from 1 species